rnacentral:piRNA from 1 species
UAUAUGCCUGGGAAAAUUAUCAUUUC